rnacentral:rRNA from 1 species
UGAGGAAUAUUGGUCAAUGGGCGAGAGCCUGAACCAGCCAAGUCGCGUGAAGGACGACGGUUCUAUGGAUUGUAAACUUCUUUUGUAGAGGAAUAAUGGCAGCUACGAGUAGCUGAGAUGCAUGUACUCUACGAAUAAGUAUCGGCUAACUCCGUGCCAGCAGCCGCGGUAAUACGGAGGAUACGAGCGUUAUCCGGAAUUAUUGGGUUUAAAGGGUGCGUAGGUGGCGUAUUAAGUCAGUGGUGAAAAGCUGCAGCUCAACUGUAGUCUUGCCGUUGAAACUGAUAUGCUAGAGAGGAGACGAGGUAUGCGGAAUGUGUGGUGUAGCGGUGAAAUGCAUAGAUAUCACACAGAACGCCGAUUGCGAAGGCAGCGUACCAGGCUCCGUCUGACACUGAAGCACGAAAGCGUGGGGAUCAAACAGGAUUAGAUACCCUGGUAGUCCACGCAGUAAACGAUGAAUACUAGAUUUUUGCGAUAUACUGUAAGAGUCUAAGCGAAAGCGAUAAGUAUUCCACCUGGGGAGUACGCCGGCAACGGUG